CCUACGGGGGGCUGCAGUCGAGAAUCUUCCUCAAUGGGCGAAAGCCUGAAGGAGCGACGCCGCGUGUAUGAAGAAGCCUUUCGGGGUGUAAAGUACUUUUAUUAGGGAUGAAUCAAUGACAGUACCUAAUGAAUAAGGGGCUGCUAACCUCGUGCCAGCAGCAGCGGUAAUACGAGGGCCCCAAGCAUUAUCCGGAUUUAUUGGGCGUAAAGCGUCUGUAGACGGUUUGUCGCAUCUCCUGUUAAAUCCUCUGGCUCAACCAGGGGGCUGCGGGAGAGAUGGGCAAACUAGAGACUGGAAGAGGCAAUCGGAAUUGCUGGUGUAGGGGUUAAAUCCGUUAAUAUCAGCAGGAACACUCAAUGCGAAAGCAAAUUGCUGGGACAGUUCUGACGUUCAGAGACGAAAGCGUGGGGAGCAAACGGGCUUAGAUACCCCAGUAGUC
rnacentral:rRNA from 1 species